rnacentral:rRNA from 1 species
CCUACGGGGGGCAGCAGUGGGGAAUAUUGCACAAUGGGGGAAACCCUGAUGCAGCGACGCCGCGUGAGUGAAGAAGUAUCUCGGUACGUAAAGCUCUAUCAGCAGGGAAGAUAAUGACGGUACCUGACCAAGAAGCCACGGCUAACUACGGGCCAGCAGCCGCCGUAAUACGUAGGGUGCAAGCGUUAACCGGAUUUACUGGGUGAAACGGGAGCGGAGACGGCAGCACAAGUCUGGAGUGAAAUCCCGGGGCUUAACCCCGGAACUGCUUUGGAAACUGGGCGGCUUGAGUGCAGGAGGGGGAAGCAGAAUUCCUGGUGUAGCGGUGAAAUGCGUAGAGAUUAGGAGGAAUACCGGGGGCGAAGGCGGCUUACUGGACGGUAACUGACGUUGAGGCGCGAAAGCGUGGGGAGCAAACAGGAUUAGAUACCCUUGUAGUC